rnacentral:rRNA from 1 species
UACGUAGGGGGGCUAGCGUUGUCCGGAAUCAUUGGGCGUAAAGCGCGUGUAGGCGGCCCGGUAAGUCCGCUGUGAAAGUCGGGGGGCUCAACCCUCGGAUGCCGGUGGAUACUGUCGGGCUUGAGUACGGAAGAGGCGAGUGGAAUUCCUGGUGUAGCGGUGAAAUGCGCAGAUAUCAGGAGGAACACCUAUUGCGAAGGCAGCUCGCUGGGACGUGACUGACGCUGAGACGCGAAAGCGUGGGGAGCAAACAGG